GGGAGUGAAAUAGAACCUGAAACCCUGCACUUACAAGCUGUGGAAGCACAUUUCUUGUGUGACCGCGUACUUUUUGUAGAACGGGCCAACGAGUUACGUUAAGUAGCAAGGUUAAGCACUUAAGGUGCGGAGCCGUAGCGAAAGCGAGUUUUAACUGAGCGUUCAGGUACUGGACGUAGACCCGAAACCGGGCGACCUACCCAUGAGCAGGAUGAAGCGAAAGUAAAAUUUCGUGGAGGUCCGAACCCACGGGCGUUGAAAAGCUCGGGGAUGACUUGUGGGUAGCGGUGAAAUUCCAAUCGAGCCCGGAGAUAGCUGGUUCUCCCCGAAAUAGCUUUAGGGCUAGCCUCAAGGUGAGAGAUACGGAGGUAGAGCACUGAAUGUCCUAGGGGGUAUUGCACCUACCGAAGACUAUCAAACUCCGAAU
rnacentral:rRNA from 1 species